ACGGCACGGAGGGAAGGACAGGUGAGUGCACGGGGCAAAGCCACCCAGGAAAUGGCUUAUCUUAUCAAAAAAGCAAAAUUCCAGAGUUUCUGCUAAUCCACAGGCCUUCCUCCCUUUUGUGCCCGGUUUGUUUCUGCGCUGCCGCCUGCUAUUCACACAGAUUUAAGUGUCUUCCUACCAAUAUCCCCCUCCUAAGUCCCCAGAGGAGACGGGCAGGGAAGGGAAAUGUGGGUAAAAUGUCAGCGAGAUCCUGUUACCCACCCUGACAAUGGUGGAGAUUUAAUUAAGUGUAAUGCAAUGUUGGACGAGCUCAGGAGCUGUGUAGAAGAGUGAAGAAAUACAGGGAGGAUGCACAGGUCUGACAAUGCCUCAAAACCCCUCCCAGCACUCUCACGCACAGAAAAGAAAUAUUAUUGUGCUCUCAGGCAUCUUCCCUGGAAAGAUCUGUACUCCAAAGAGACCAUGUGUGAAAAUCGUAGCAAGCAUUUUGGUCAACUGCUUGGGAACAACCUGGAUAGGUGGGGAUGUCCAUGUCCCCGUCCCAGCCCACGGCCAGGGUGGAACAAGAUCACCUUUAAGAUCCCUUCCAGCCCAAACCAUUCCAGGAUUCUCUAUGAACCAGCAAACACUAUUUCCAGGCUCAGCCUCAAUCUCUAACUUCAGACAUGAAGAAUUCAGACCCAAGAACACCUUUUAUAAACAAUAAUUACAGCGGAAGAGGAUUUGCAUAUUAGAUCACAGAGGGAGUCAAUCUAACCCACAGACUCGGGAUCAUUCGAUGCUUCGAGGAGAGGCAGAAAUACAGAGAAUAUAAUGUUAUUAAAGCUUGCCCAGUGGGGACACGUCAUCCUGCUUCAGUGGCUCAUUUCUUCCCCGAGGCACGAGGGCUCAGAACAGCGCUAAAAAUAAUUUUGUCUGACAUAACCCCGGAGACUUUCAUUCUCCAUUACACGAGCAGCCUUCGAAAAAAUUCUGCUGGAAUUUUAACUCGGAGGCUGGAGGGGGGGGGGAGAUGUGCCACGUACUAAAAUAACCCUGUCAGUCUGAAAUUUGCUGCUUGAUUGAAUUUUUAUAUUCCUCUCCACAUCGUAUUAGAAAAACGAUAUGCAAGUUUAUCUUUUUCUUAUCUUAAAUAUUUCAUACCCUUCUUACAAACCUUCUUGCCAUUAAACCACUUAACUUUUCCAUUUCUUUUCUCAGGGAAACCAUUUCAGGCUUCUAGUAAUUUCCAAGAUUUGAUUUUGUGAGCUCUUCUACUGCUUUUUUGCGGGUGUUUUUCUUCAAAUGUUCAAAAAAACCUGGUUUUCUUUCAGAACAUCUUGGUGUAACCAGUACUGUGGCACAUUCUCAAAAGCCCUUGGGCUCUGUCCCCAUUAUAUUUGGAGGCGCAGAAGGGAAGGCAAUCUCUGUCCCAAAAUACUUACAAACAAUCCAGAAGGAUAUAAAAACAGGCCAGACCAAAAUAAAACACAACAAAAAGGGUCAAAAAUGCAGAAGUAAUAAUAAACAUGAGAAACUCUGCUGCCGGUCUCACCCUCUCAUUAUAACCCUCCCAUCCCAUCCAGCCACUUCACACGUUGGUGCCUUUCCCACACAUUCUCCUCCUACUCCUCCGGCCCCAGAGGAGGAAGUUCAGCAUCACUUUGGGAGUGGAGUGAAAAUAAAGCCAUGCCAGGAACGGAGUGAAAAACUGAGCCCUUCCCCCUGCCCUGCUCUUCCCCAGGGCAGCUGCCCUGCACCACCCAACCUCUCACUUCACGGAUAAUAAAUAACAUUUCCCUUCCCAGCUACAGUCCCUUGUGCUUUCCAGCAACGAAUCUCCCACCAUCAAGAUGCCCCUUCACAGCCUCAUUUUUCUGCUACAUUGGUAAACUGCCUUUAUUUCUGUCUCACCUGUGCACCCUCCUUUCGUGCCCUCUUCAUUAAUGAACUAUUUAAUCACUGAAAGUGAAGAGUCCAGCAUUCCUUCCUCAUCUUUAUUCCAUUUCCUCUGCCGUUCCACUGAAUCACCAAACUGAAGUUCUUCUCUACAGCAUUUUGGGAGAAAAACAAACCCAAUCCCACAUGAACAGGCCCUCAGUGUUCUCCAGGGGUAACAUCAGCCAUCACCUGCUACUGGGAAAUAAACUGGCAAAGAAUGGAGAAACUUCUUGAAACACAAAUAUGGGGGAGAAGAAUGUGGGUGGGGAGAAACUGAAAAUAAUUCCCAAGCUGACAGCAGCUCCAUGUGGCUCAGCAGCCCCUGGGGAAGGCAGUAAUAGGACUUUAGGGCUGCAGAACCCUAUUCCCCGUGCCCAUUUCCAAUUUUCCUUCUCACAUCUUGAUGCUCCCAAAGCCCUCAGAAUUCCAGCGUGCUGAGAUUGUAUCUCUCGAGCAAGAGGCAGCGCUGAAUUGAUUUGAGCAGUGCUUUAGAAUGGAGACAGGCUAUUUUUACAGUUUCAGGUUUUUUUAUAAGGAUAUUAAAAAUAUGGAACAUACUGUUAAAAUCACAGCAUUGCACUAGAGAAAAAAUAUUAUCUUGGGGUAAUACCAUCAGGUAUCCAAGUGAUGACACAGCAGUGCAGCAGGGUGAUAAAUUCUACAAAGGAGCCUGAAUUCUGUGCAACUUUGGGAAACAAGGAUCAUACUGGUAAAUUCCAUUUCCCCAGAGAGUUUUAAGGAUAUGUGUCCCUUAGCAAAGCAAGACUUACUGAGACAUUCCAGGAAAAAAAAAAAAAAAGUCAUUAUUUCCUGACUAUUUUUAGACACAAAAAAAAAAUUGUUGCAAGAACAAUCCCCCCUUUCUUUAGGGAAAUCCCCAUCACUUUUCCAGUUGAAGAAACAUGGAUAUAAUAAUUCAAAAGUAAGUCAAAGGUUUGAUGUUCUGUGAAUGGGAGAAUGAUGGAAGAGUUAAUUAUAGCUGCUGUGUCACCCAGUUAUAGCUCACAGCACAAUCAAAAUAAAGAAUCUGACAGGGAAUUAUGUGGAGUCUUGAGCAGCAAAAUACAACUCUUUUUCAGCUUUAAAAAUAUACAGAUCUGAAGCUUGAAAGCUGCUCAAGGACAAGUUCCCAGAAUAUUAAAAUGAGAAUAUGGCUUUGCUUUUCCCUGUGAGUAAUUUUGAAAACAACCACCCAUUGCCAACGCAGAAAAUAAGCUAUUAAAAAUUCUUCUGGCAAAAGUGGAUUCAUAAAGCUUUUAGAAUGAGCUAGGGAAAUUUUAACACGGGAACAUAAUAGGAUAAAACAACAGCUCUGACAAUCUCCUCCUUAAAGUAUUCCAAGUAUCAAUAGGUCUCGGGGCAGGUUAAAAAUGGCACAAAAAUAACUCUGUAACUUCAUUUUGGGCUUCCGCUAGCAGCAUUAAACCCGGGGUGAUUUUUUCCAGAAGCAGAGCGUGCUCUGGCACUCAGCCUUUUCCCAACACGGGAGAACCUGCUCUUCCACAUCGCUGUGAAGUCAGCGGAGCAGAAUGCCAGCACGCCGAGGAACUAAUCUCCAGAGCUGUCACAACACACGCGCGGCGCCGGGAGGGAGCUGGGAACAAACGCUCCCGCGUGCUGCUCCCGGAACGUGGCAUCACUGGGGAGCAGUGUGAGUACUCAACCAGCAUUUCAGACGCUCUUUUGUCCAGCCCAGGUACUUCUACAAUCAGUUUCACUCUAAGGUAUCACAGCACUGAAGAAAAAUUAUUUUUGCAUUUUGCUGUUUCCAAAAUCAGAUGGGAAAAUUGAGCAAUAAGAGAGAUUGUUCUUAAUUAAACAAGGGGUGGACAUAAAAUCUCUCUUACACAUGCACUUUACUACAGGUGUAGUUUACAAGCUCUUUUAAAACACUUAUUGGUGUUCCAUAAUUACCUAUGAGUAUACAAGAAUGUGUGUUCUUACACUAUUUAUGUGUCCAUUUUUCAUCAAUCAUGAUAAAAAUCUAUUAAUAACUUGCAAUAUUUAUCUAUGUAUCUAUUUUCCAUUAAUCAAGAUUGAAUUUGUUCAUAAUCCAAUCUAAAUUUUAUCCACAUGGGCUGAUUCCCAAAGAUUCAACAUGUAAUAAUCCAGCCACGGGGUUCAGACUCAAAUACAUCUGGUUUCAUGGAAUAUCCAGUGUUGGAAGGGACCCACAGGAUGAUGGGGCCCCAUUGCUGGUCUCAGUACACUGCAGCUCAUUUAGCACACAGAAUUUUCCUUCGCUCGGUUCUAAAUGCAAAGAUGACAUUUCAAAUCCUGGAGUCCCACAAACCACGCCUCGUUUCCAGAGAAAUUUCUCAUUUUCAGGCAAUUACAGUUUGCGGGCCUAGUGGCGACGAAGUUACGCUGGGUUUACGUGUGAGAAAUGAAAGCACCGACCGGAGAACACAAAGCCAGCUGUCCUUUGUUCCCACAAAAGGAGAUAAAAGAGAGGCUCCGAGCCCCUGGAUGGAACAGAGACCCGCUGCUUCCCGUCAAUGGCAGCGGCGCUGAAUCAAGGGAUCUCACAACCUGCCCCGCACCCCCCUGCAAUUUUAAAAUGUGCCACAAUUGUCAUUUCUGCCCGUUGAUUUAUUUGAGAGCGGUGAGUCAGCUGCAGGCUGGGGACUCCCCACGAGCGGCAAGCGGGAAACAAAACUGGAAACACGGCUGGAAACACGGCUGGAAACACGGCAGCCGCCACGGAGGAUAAAGCAGAGGGGAGCUUUAACACCCUGUGGGCACUGAGCUGCCAAUGCGAGUUUAAAAAAGCGAAACAAAACCAACCUGCUGUUGCCCAGAAAAGCUGUGACUGCCCAGUCCCUGGAAGUGUCCAAGGCCAGGUGGGACAGGGCUUGGAGCAACCUGAGGCAGGGGGGAAUGAGAUGGGUUUUAAGGCGCCUUCCAACCCAAACCAUUCCAUGAUUCUAUCAUUCCACGAUUCUAACCUUUAUAGGUGGAGCAAGUUAAAAACAAAGCCACCUAAAACCAGUUUAAAACCUUUGCAUUUUUCAUGCCAAAUUUAAGCUGUGAAUAAUGUAAAAAUUAAUUUUUUUUUUUUUUAUAGCUGCCUUCAAAAACUGUUUCACCAGACCUGGUGAAGCAUCCAGGAUUUUUUAUUUUCACAGGAAAUAUGCAGAAUGAUCACUUUUUCCCUGCCAAAAUUAACUUGAAAUCAGGAACUGUGCCUGGCUCAGCUCAACUCAACACCCUGUCAGAAUAAUCUCCAAGUGAAGAUUAUCUCCUAGAAAGAUCUACUGAGGACAGGCUCCAUCCCUGCUGACGGCGGGUUAUUCUCGUGGCUGAUGUCAGCUGCAGAUUCCCAAGCCGGGUCAGGAAAUCCAAAGUUAAUGUACAGUCACCUCCGAAUGGAAGAACAGGAACCCUCGGGUUUUCUCCCUGUCCCUCCCUUUCCAGAUCCAAGUUAAGUCACCACAGAUGUUCUCCAUGCACAGAACACCAGCAGUGACAGUGCUCUAUGAUCAGCUCUAUCCAGAAGACACAAAUCCUUGGGAUAUUUUACAGGCUUUGGAAAAAAUACCUGCUGCUUAGAUUUCCUCAACCUGGGAAAACAGCACUAGAAAAUUGCUUCAAGUUUCCUGAAUGUACUGGUGUGUUGUUUGGGAAUAAAAAGAAUUAAAAAGACCUGAUUACUGCCAGCCAACACCCACAAAAAAAUGAUGGCAACUGCUUAAAAUAAAAGCUUAAAAAAUGCACUGUAUCCCAUUCUAAGCAGUGGACUAAAGGAUCUUUGCCUGUGAAACAUUUCGACUUCUGGAUGGAAAAUUAUACAUUGGAGCAAUAAAUGCACAAGGCUAGUACAGACUGGUAUUUCUGACCUACUGAUAACUGUUACAUGAACCUAAAAAGAUAUUUAACCAGAAUUUCCCCUGUUCUUUACACACAUGUAAGUCAAAAGUGCACAUCAAACCACACUUUCCUUCCUAAGGACAGCAGCAGCCCAUUCCCACAAAACUCCUGACACCACCCUGUUAAUCCAACAAUCCAGGUGGCUGUUCUGCCACACUCAGGCAGGAAUCACAGAAUCCCAGAAGGGGACCCUAGAGAUCAUCUCAUUCCAACACCCUGCCACAGGCAGGAAUAACCACAAUGAAAAUUACAGAGGUCUGGGCACACCGACCUUAACUCCUUAUCAGAGCUGAUUCCAACACUGACCUCAAUAUCCAAGCAAGCAGCAGGCAGCUGUUCUGUACACAUGACGCGUCCCACACCAGGGCAUUUGUAUGGGAAAAAAAACAUUUCACACACCUGCGGAAAUAAACACAAGGGGUUUUCCCCCUCCUUCAAAGGAGUUGUUGAACCUGAUGUUGAAGACAUCAGAAAACCCAGUCCAACCUCUGAGGUUGGUUUGUAUGAAGAGAUCAAGAGGAAAUGAGCCGUCGCUGCAUUUUGCCAACUGCAGGCGAGGGCUGAAGGGGCUCAGCCCACAAAGGGAAACCACGAAGAACCUGAACCCCGUUCCUCCAUGUGCAAACAAGGCUUUCCACUGGAAAUAUGGAUAUAAGAGGAAGGGCAGAGAAAGCCACCUAAACAUUCCCUCGGUGUAAUUACCCUGUGCCCAUUACCCCGGCCUCGGCCCCUCCGGAGCAAAGCUCGCCGGGAUGUGAUUCUGUGACAUUCUUGGCACUCGUUCAAGCCGCUGAGAACUUGCCACCCAAGGAACUUUGGUUUGUGCAUGUCACACACUCUGCAGUAUUUAACAGCACUCAGCUAUGAUACAACAAUCCACCGAGAAGGGGGAAAGGCCAGUGCUGCACGGAAACAGAAACAGCCACAAAAAGCAUGAAACUGAUAAAACCAGCAUUUACAACCCUAAAGAGAGAUCAUUAAAUACUGCAGACUAAUGAAACAAGGACAUCCUCCUUCCCUUAACUUUUUCUGCUUUACCACGCCCAGAGAGAAGACUACAAUGAUCUCCUGCUGGGCUGGAAUCCUAAAUCCAAAGAAAUUAAAUUAAAUUAUGUUUAAGGGCCAUGGGAAAGCAACACAAUGGUGACAACUCAACGUCCUUUACAUCCCCAACGAACACACACUGUUGCUGUAUUUAUUUCAGUCUCUGACCAGCGAGUUUUUGAAGACACAGCCUCCAGGUACUAUUUACCAUAUAUUUAUCCUAAGCCAAGUGAGUGGCUGAUUAACAUUCCAUUUGCAUUUCUGUGACAUGCCAUGUAUAAAUAUAUAUAAAUAUAUUUACGUCAGUUAUUUUAUCCUGAUGUCUGACACCUAAUCUUUGAUAAAAGUCUGAAAUGAAUCAUGGAGAAGAUGGAAAUGUUGCUCAGAAGGAUGGACUACUCCCACCCCCAGAACCACCUUCCCCUGCAGCCUUCAGAGUUUCCAGACAGCUUUGGGCUCCUUUUAAUUCCUCCCUGCAACCAAAUAACCCAUUAUGAUUGCUAAAAAUAUGUCUGUUUAUAUGAAUCGCUGUCUGGCUGAAGACACAGUGCCCAACCCACAGCUGGUGUUGUCACCUCACUCCUUGACCUACGUCCCCCUGUCCUUGGGCUUGAACUUCAUGCAGCCAAGAAAUAAAAACACUAACCCAGGGAAAAAAAAGCGUUGGUGACAAACACACUGGCCUAUCUCUGGAGCAAAGAGCUGACUCAGCACUGACAACAGCUUCCCACUGCUGGGAAGAAGCUGCUCAAUCCCCGUGCUCCCCACGCUGGGGAUGGGGAUGGGUUUGGUGUUGAAUUUGGGAGCAGCUGGAGUUACCUGCCUGCCCAGCCUCUUUGAACCAUGGAUGCUCCCUGGGAACAGUGUGAUUGCUCAUGCUCCAAAAGAAACCCUGGGAAGCUGAAGGAAAUGCUUUCUCAGCAAAUGGCCACGGUGACGGAGCUCGGCGCUGGGAAAGAUAAAAGUCAUCGAGGCCUUGAGGGUGAAGUACAAAGCAGCUCUUCAGCUCUGCUUUCCCACAGUUAAACUUCCACCGAUGCAAAGAGGGAAGAAAGAGGGUGGGUGUGAGAAUGGGUGAGCAGGGUGAACCUCUGUUUAACAUCACCUUCACAGAGCGAAGCCCUGGGUCAAGAUCCCUCGUGAGAAGUCCUGCUGCAGCCACCCAGAACUCCCAUCUCCUCCGGCCAUGCUCCAAAUUAUUCCAAGCACUGCCAGCACAUGCCUGAGGAAGAGCUGCUUCUCCAGGCAUGGAUCAGGCAAAAGGUGGCCAACGGCAGAGUAACUGUGUUAAAGGGAAGAGCUUUUGCCACCUAUCUGCUGGUGAUCUAAAUUAGUAUUUUGUAACUGACACUUCAGAGCACAUGAAAUCUUUGGGCAAAAGCUGCAUUUUAGUACCAGGUUCAUGGGGGGCUGUCUUAACAUCCACUGCAGAUGGGAAAGGAAGGUAGGAAGAGGCCAAGGCUUUGCCCAAGGUCAUUCCAUGAAUCACAGAGGGAACAGCCUGAGGAAUUUGAUCUCCUGGCUCACGGGUGGCCAAGUCUUUUCAAAAUACCAAGAAAGCAACACAGAAUCAUUUAAGCUGGAAGAGAGGUCCAUGAUCAUCAAGCCCAAUAUUUAAAAGCAGUUUCCUCAACAACAACAACACUGCUUUCAUGAAGGGACCGACUCAGCAUCCUAGGAAAAAACACCAAAUUCUACUCCAAGUGCUGCCUAUGAGCCAGGAGAGUCAAAUGCCAUUGAAAAUGCAACCACCACUGCAUCCAAGUAGGCUACUACGCAUUUACUCAAGGAGCAAAAUGUAACCUCUUUUGCCUUAAGAGCCCUGUCAAAUGAAUUCCUGGGAAUAAACACUUGUAAGUACAAUUUCAAAACCAUUUGGCAUUGACUAAGUGUUGAGCACUGGGCAUCUUUCAGAAGAAAAGCCUUUUUCAGACAUAUGCUAGAACAAAAAAAAAAAAAAAACCCUCGCACUGAUUCACCUCCAGGUUACUGCAGUUACUUUUUAACAUAAAGCUGCCAGAAGAUCAUGGCAAACUGCCCCAUAGAAUUAAUUCUGUCUUCAUGUUUUAGAAAAGCAUCACACCUUGCCUUAGAAAAACCAAGCCAGGCACUAUUUGCAUGCACUGCCUCCUCCCAACCCAAGGCACUGGGUUUUUUUAGCAAUACACAAAACACCAUUUGUUGAAAUUCCUGAUUUGGAGCAGUUUUGAAAUGGUGCAUCCUCUCCUAUAAACAGAAUUGUUCCUGGGAUGGGAGCUGCAAUGGAAGGCAUGCCAAGAUACACAGCUGAGCUACAAUGCUGCUUAAGUAAAUUUGGGAACAUGCAAAGCUUAAUAUAGAAAUUCCCUUUAUGGCAGAUAAUGCCGUGGAAGUUUAGUACUUCUAAAAAUGGUCACUAUUGUCCAAAGAGAGAAAUCCAAAUGGAAAUGGACAGAGCAAUCCUAGCUCUUCAUUCAAAAUAAAUCCAUUUAGCAAGGGUGUUUUUCAAAGAGACUUUGUAUUCCCUUACAUCUCAGAAUCAUAAAAUACUCCUUCUGAUCUAAGAUUCUAAUAGAAUCUUCUACAGCCUUUCAAAGAAACACCAAAGAGAUGAAGGGAAGAAUAAUUUUGGAGGCUUUUUUUUUUAAUGCCCCCUUUUAGACCGACAACAGUGACUGGAGGAAUCACAGGAGAGCUCUGUAAAACCAGAAUGGGAGCUGCUGUUCUGGAGUAAAGGACUACUUAAAAUGGAAGGCCUGGGAAAAAAAAAGUCAUUUCUGUGAUCUCAGGCAGCAUAAAUUAUAGAGAGAAGACAUUUGAUGAGUUCUAUGCUAAGGAUUAAUUUGCCAUUUAAAAAUGCAGGGAACAGAUGGAUCUCUUGGCUAGGACUAUAUUUGGGAAUUACUUCAUUUUGCUGCCCACAUGCAAAUAAAAAUACAACUAAAAGUAGAACUUUUUGUGGGCUUUCACAUGGGUAGAAAACACUGAAGUAAUGAAAAUAAAACCAAAAGAAUAUGUCUGUAUGAAAUAGGUAAAAUGCCACAGCACCUAUUGUGGAUCUGCAGUAGGCUGGGGGAGAGAAUGUGAUUUUACUUUGUUGAACAACUAUGGAGAGUAAUGCCAGGCUAAAGAGCAAAUUUGAGAGAAAAGCAACUCCAAAACCAACCCAGCAAAACCCGUAUCAUAUGACAGUGUUUGCCACUUAAGAGUAACUUCUGAGAAAGCACCUUACUGUAACUUAAUUCCACGGAACUUGUUAGGAUUUAGCGAUUACAUCUUCACACAUGGUCAGAAGUCCAGGGAUUCUCUUUCCCAAAAGCCUGGGCCAGUUCCAUCACACUUAGCAGGGAUCACAGAGCACAGGUGAGAAAUUAAUUUGUGAGAAAAAUGCAUAUGUAGGGGAAAAUCCAGAAGAAAAUGCCUUACACCUCCCUGGACCGAGUAGAGCCCUGGCCUCCACCCCGCAUGGCAGCGGCUGGGGAAGGAGGAGCAGCGCGAGGCAAUCCCGCUGGCACAGGGAGAGCACAGGACGGAAGAAAUGUCCUCUGAGGAAUUCCCACAGGCAAAGACGGUGCACUUCCCUUAUGGGAGCCAGUGCUUUCAAACCCCCAAACCAUGGCAGCCACACGCACAGGGUAAUUAAGCACCUGCCUUUCUUCCAUGUGAUUUCUCCAAGUUCGAGAGAAACCGCGUAUUAAAAAGCAAACCCAACAUCAACCCCUGAGACAGCUGUCAGAUACCAUCUCUGUUGCUCCUCUAGCAACACAAUGAGCCUUUCUCCUUCCUCUCUCCAUCUCAAAAACAAACAAACUGAAAAUUUCACCCAGCAAAGCCCCGACCAGCGCAGCACGUCCUCGGCGUAUUCCCAGACUCCGGAACCGGGAUAAGCACAGCUCUGAGCGCAUUUAGGAAACGAAGAGGAACAGAAAAUCUGUACUAACCCGACAGCUUCCCUUCUGUGACUAUUCAUCCUUCACAAUCCAACAGGACACAUCAGCCAGUAAACAAACAUGGAAGGGAGGGACCAACUUCAAAGCAAGUGUGUAAAUCUGACAUAAUUUGAGGGUUUGAGAUCUUGCAGCAACCUCUUACCCAACGAGGUGUCAGAUGAUCCAAGGAGGUCAGACCUGUAGCAGCCACGGUAUAAAACCAAUGAUUUCUGGACAUCUGCAGAGAACACCCCACAACCAUGGAAGAAAUGAGGAUACAGGCCUGAAAACCACUUCCCUCUCGUAGAAAGGAUUCUCUAAGAGAACACAUCGAAGCCCUCACCUCUCUCCCAAGCCUGUGAUUUUCCACUCAAGAGCCACGCUGCCUUCUCCUCUCCAAGCAGCAUUAGGAGCUGACCGCAAGGAUCUGCAGUGGGAUCCCUAAUCUCCUGCUAAGAAGCUUUUGCACUUAAACCCUUGAUGCCAUCAUUAGUGGUUUCAGCACUCGCGACGUCACAGCCAGACUACGCUCGAUGGCGGGACGAUGAGGGCAAAGCUAAGCGCAUCAGGUACACGGUUAAUUCAAUGCAAAAAGAUUAGGGGAUGAUACUAUUUUUUUAUUUUUUUCCCCAAUGAGGCUUAUUUACGAUUAAUUCCCAUCCCUGUGACCUUCUUUAAGUACAACGUGUUCCACCUGAGAUUGUUUGUAAAGUUAACGCCCAAGUGGCAUCGCUACGCCUCGAGGAGACCUGUUCUCCCAGCCCUCAGGUUUUACAGGGAAGGUUCUCCUUCUGCAUCCACACCUCUGGCAGAGCCAGAAACAUCCUCUUUGGGGAAAAACAAAACAAAACAAAACUAACAAAUCACUGUAUUUGCAAGUUCGAAGGGACGUGGUAUCUAGGCUUUAAUUGGAACGUAUGGCUGAGCCCAGGCAGUGGCUGGAUUUUUCCUUUGAUCACUGUAAUGACUGGUAUUUUUUCAAUACAGCCUUCCUCUUCUGCUAUACAUCCCUCCAUGUGAAUAUUCAUCAGAAAUUAUUAAACUGCCCUUUAUUCCAAAGGUCUGUGUGAUGGGGAGGCUCUUCCCCAGCUCUGGUGCCUGUGUCUCCAUCUGAGCUGUCUGACUCCACCACCGCUGCAGAUAAGCACUUCCAGGCUAGGAUCCUCUAAUCUAUUUUAGCCAUGAUUCACAUCCGAGCUGCGUGUCUCCCAAAGAAAGGCAAAUCUGGACUGCUUGUGCAGAGGGAGGCAGCCACCACAGCCCACAGCACCACACGUUUCCCUGUUUUCCUUGGCUUUCUCGGGGCUGGUUUCCCCUUGCUCUCCCAGCGUGCAGCAGGAAGAAAACACAUUUCUCUUCCUGCCUCCAGGAUCUCUCAGACUAAGCCUGGCUUCUGAGCAGCAACACGGGCAGCUUCAACUUCCCUGACCUCAGCUAAUUCUUUCCUUCCCUCAGCCUACUCAAGAUGAUUAAGCAAAAUACUUGGAAGGAAAUCAAAGCCUUAAAAAUGCAAUUAGAAGUGACCAUUUUGUUAAUACGCACACGCACAACCCCAAAGUCAAACCCAAUCCAACAGCACCUGACCUUUGGGAAAACAGCAAUUUUUAGCAGCUCCCAUGGACUUAAGGAACAGCCCAAAGCCUCCCACAACACUGCUGGGAGCAGUGCUGUCCACAUAGCUCAGGUUUUUCCCACUAUUCCUAAAAAAGGAGGUUAAAAAGACACAAAAUUGCAAAUUCUCACACUAGACACUGGCUCCUGCAGACCUACAGCUGUCCAGGGGUGACUUAAAAAUAUCAUUUUUAAUACACAUCCUUCCACAUACCCAGAUCUUUCUCACCCAGCUGAGGAAAAGGCAAGUUCACCGGAGGGUUUAGAAUCAGCUGCCACAAAUCCUCAUAUUCUCCAGCAAAGAUUCUGAUCUCAUUGCAAGAAACCUUUAAAGCACUGAAAUAAUAAUAAUCUCUUUAACAACAAUAGUCGUUUGAAAUCAUCAAAAUAGUUAUCAUGGUAAUAAAACAGAAAUAUUUUUCUAGGGCAAUUUCCACUUCACCCAUCCACAAUAUGAUAUAUUUUUAAGACUCCUUUCCUGAAAUUAAUUUGAAAAAAGAUUUUUUUUUUCCUCUGCCUGUAAAGAAUCAAAUGCACUUUGAGAAAGCAGCAGUUGAGCUUCUGGGCCCUGACACAGAAACAAAGGCUGACAGCCCAGAUUUAGAUAAACACCUACUUCUGCACAUCUAGGAAGAGGCUUAAUUGCUUUGUCACUUAGAGCCAGCAAUUACCAACUAUUACUGGGAGUGCGGCGGUGGUGGGGGGUAUUAAUUGCAGCCAAAUGUCCACUCUUUUUGGGCAGCUCAUGCCAAGAAAAUUAAAUACUAAAUAAAAAAAAAUUAAAACCCCUCUUCGUUAUAACGUUUUAAAGUAUUUUAUUGUCUAUUUGUAUGUAAGGGGAGGAGGUGGGGGUGGGUUCUCCCAGAGGAUGAUGGAAUUUCUAUUUAAUUUUGAAAUUGUGUCAAAUCACGGCAGAGGUGGUAUUAGGAUGUUGGGGCAGGCUCCAAAAUCGCCCUUUUGGGGGAUUUUUGGGGCUGAUUCCUCCAGCGAGGAAACCAGUGCUUAACUUCUAGAGCGAGCAGAGCAUUUAAGGUUUAAAACAAAUAAACAAAACAACCUAAAAUAGGCUGAGAGGGAAAGAGGGUUUUCCUCCCUCAGAGCCGGCUCUGACACAGCCGCUGCUCCUUCGUUUCUCUGCGCUGUUUGAGGGGGAAAUCUUCAUGCAGGAGCGAGAGCCGCUCCAGGGCUUAGGUGGGGGAGGGAUCCUAUAUAUAUUUUUUUUUAAUUUACAAGGCUUUUUUUCGUGGCAAUGGCGGUGUUUUUCCGCGGGGCUCGGGCGGCCCCGCCCCGGGGGCGGCGCGGCAGCCCCGGCCGGCUCCCGCCGGCUCAGACCGGUUCUCAGCGCAAACAACCGCCCCCCGCCCGCCGGGGCACCGCGGAGGCGAGCCCCUGCUUUUCCUCCAGAAACACUCGCUUUCCCCCCAUAAAACACCCGCUUCUCCCUCAGGAACACCCGCUUCUCCCUCAGAAACACCCGCUCUCCCCGCCCCCCGAAACAACCGAGUGAGGCGACUCCGCGGCCGCGCCGCCAUUACAGCGGCGGGCGCGCUCCGCCGGCUGUGAGGCGAGAGAAAGCGGCGGGGUUUCGGAGCGAGAUAAAAAUCUUAUUAUGCAACGCACAUUUUUAAUAGAUUAUUGCCGAGUCCAGGGCUGAGGUAAUGCGGGCUGUCAGCAGCUGGGGCGAGAGGCUGAGGGACAAGCGGGCUGCGGCCGCUCCCUGCCAAGGGCGCCGAGGCACCAUUUCUUCACCAUCCGUGAGGAGAACUUUGAUAUAUCACGUUAUUUUUUUCCACAGAAGGAUCUAUUUAUGUGGUUACACAUGCACAGGUACGUCUUUUUCGGCAUAUCUCGAGUAUAAAGGUUUGCUUUCUGCAUUGCAAGCUCUCCAAAGCCAUUUGAAAACGUCCUGCCUGUACUCAAUCUCAGGAAACCCGAUACAGUCCCAAGGGUAAAAAAAGCCACGUUUUAAAGGAUGGUCUCGGUUAUAUUUAGCUGAGCAGCAGCACAGGCUGACACGAGCAGAAACACAAGGAAGAACAAAGUGAAAACGCUCGACAGUUAUUAACAAAAACCUGCGAGUAUCUGAGGUGGAUUUUUUUCUAAAUUUUCCUUUCCCCAAUUCACAUUUUGCGGCGCAGAGAGAAUAUUAAAGCAGCACAUGGGUUUAUGCAAACAAAAGGUAAGGGCGAGGUGUUUCACCUGACUCUUGACAGGAUUUGCUUUUGCCUUUGUGUAAUGGAAAAGGCCUCCUACUCUUAAGAAAUUCUUUAAUUUUCUUUUCUAAAUCUUAACCUAAUUCUUUUCCCAUACAAACACAAGCCUGCUCAACCCUGUCGUUCUACCAGAAGAGAUGAAAAAUUUUCAGCUCAUCUCUACAGUACCAAAUGUAUGUGGAAUUAUUUAACCUCGACAAAAGCCACCUCACAGAUGCUUCAAUAAAGACUAAACAGCUACAUUUAACCUCAUUGUUCCCGAUUUUUCAUCUGUCCUCAGCACAAGCAUCUCCAAACCCACUGAAAAUCCCAAAUCCCAGCUAAAUCAGUGAUUCAUCACUUUUGGCAGCAAACGACACGGGAAGGAGGAGAUGAAGACAAUGGUAGAGAAAGGUUUGCAUUAUGUAAUGAAACUAAAACUCACUUUUUUCUACUUUCACUUCAGUUGUUGAAACAUGGUAGGAAAGUCCCUGACUAAAUAAAAUACACAGGAGGUUUCAGGGAGUCUGGUUUUCCCAUGAUUAAAAUUCUCUUGGCAGUAUUUUUCAUCAGUUUAUUUCAAUAUUAAGACACACACAUAUUCCAUUCCAAUGGUAAUUCCUUGCUCCAGAAAGAAUUUCAUCACAGAGAAAUCUAAAAUUAAAACUAAUCUCUAAUUACCUUAUGCCUUGCCCACUUGUCAAGAGAACUUUAAAUACAGCUAUCAGAAUUACAAAAAAAAAAUUCCCUUUUCAAAUAUCUCUAAGUGCAGCUUCUUCCUGUUCCUUGAUUUCAGGAAGACUGGAAUCACUGUGAUCACACAGAUCUUGGUGAAUAUAAAACCAGUGUUAUAUCUAAGGUGAAAAUGCUCUUUUAAUUUCCCAAUAUCUAUUUCAUAUUACAAGCUAUAGAGAAAUAGUCAUGUAAAUAAUUAUUCAUCCAACUCCAGCAUCCUGGAGAUGAGACAACCAAAUAAACACUCUUAAAAAUAAAUUAAAGGUGACUACAUUACACAUUAUAGGAAAUUAUUCAUUUAACUGGUAAAUCCCCCAGCAUCCUCCACACCAGACAACCGAAUAAACACUCUUAAAAGAUAAAUUAAAGGCCAAGGGAAACCUCAGGUCGCUUAUCUGCAGCUGGAACACGUGGGGUGUUCACGCUUUCACAGCCUGAACAUCACCUACAGGAAAUCAAACACUUCUGCCUGGGUUUUUGUAAAUGAAUUCAAACCCCAUCCCAAGAAGGAUUUUAGCAGUGAAACACCCCGCUCUCAGCACUGGGUGGUUCAGCGCACUGCUGCAGCACAGCUUUAAGAAUAAUCACUAACACAUGGAGCAGCAAGAGACGUGUCAGGCCAUCUGACGUUACCAAACUGAAUCAAAAAGCCCAGAAAUUAUUUUUAGUGCAUUAGAGCACCUCAACAAGCAGCCUAGAAAAGAGCUUUUGCUACAAAAGAAAAAAACCUAAAAGCAGGGGGGAUGUUUCCAGGAGGCUGGGCAGGGCACAAACAAAAUCUUGUUUGCUUCCUAUGGGAUCACCCAGCUUCCAUCCAGAGCCAGCUUCUUCCGUGACACAGUGCAGAAAAUAUGUUUGCUAAUGUAUCAUUUGUGGUGUGUGUCUGAAUCACCAGAAUGGAGACAAUGAAGCUUCUGGUGGUGGCAAAUUAUCAUUUUCAAGGGCUUUUUUAUUCUUUCAAGGUGAUUAAAAAAUUCCACCAACCCUUUUCCACUAUAUAGGGGGGGAAUGAGCAAUCUUACACUAAGAAGACUUCAAAACACAAAUUCCUCCUCAAAUCCACGCAGGAAACAUCCACAUCCACCAGCUUCCUCACCUCAGCAGGCAACUUCUGAGAGGCCACAAAACCCCCCAAAUAAAGCCUGGCUUCAGAGAACACUGGUUAUUUUUAAUGUGUUCUUUCUGGUUUUAGUUUCUAAAUUACUCCUUGCAGCACCAUUACUUGCAAAGGCCUCCAAAUAGCAAUUUAAAGCAAAGUUUAGUGGCGAUCCAACACAACAGACUCUGAACCUUGACAAGAUAAAGGCUUUUUGGGGUUGUUUUUUCAUUUUUAAGCAAGCAGUGUUUCUUCAGUAUUGUCAAGGAAAAUCAGCUCCAUUUAACCAGCGUUAUGUACUUCACACAACUCUUGAAAACCACAAGCAAGGAAACCCAGACUUCUCCUUCAGCACCUUUCUGUUUUUUCACAGCUCCUGAAGGACAGUGCUCAGCACAACGUUCCCACCAGAGCUGAACACCCCGUGUGCCCCAAACACCUCCAGGGCAGGGAACACAACUCUGCCAGCUGAGACCAACAGGACGAGACCUGAGUGACCAAAUUCUUAAAUUUCAGAAGAAUGCAGAGUCACAAAGACCUUAAGAAUACCAUGGCCCCUCAAAAUUGGCCAUUUCCACUUCUAAAAAAGCCGUAAGAGAAUCUCCGGCUUGCUAAAUUCCUGGGGACCAUGGAAACUGCAGGCAAUAAUUAUUCUCCAGACAAAAGAAACUGGAUAUAUCGCACAGCAAGUGGGAGCACCAAACCAGGGAAAAGGGGGUGAGGCAGCUUUCGCUCACCAACAGUGUAUGAGGGGCUUAAUAUUUACAUGGCUAAAUUUCAACUGGGUUGAAAAUUCAACACUUGUGCUUUGAAAGACUUCAAGGCCAGGUGGGGUUUUGCUUCCCAAAGUAAAGAGAGGGUUAAAUGUUUAUUAUUAUCUAACUGAUUGCUAAGAAACAUGUAAAACUCUUUUCUGAUCCUUCAAAAUUAAAUAUACAAUCCACCAGAUUCUAUUACUUGCUCGACUGAGUUUGACUUUAUUGUAUUAAUAAGAAAAAAAUGUUUUAUUUCCUCCCAGAGUAUCGUCUACUUUUCCAUUACUACAGCUAGAAAUUGCCAAGAAAAUGAAAUGCUCAAGCACAGCAGACGCUGCUUUUCUUCUCAUUAAAUCUUAAAACUUGGUUCCAGUGGGAUCAUAUUUAGUCCUCUCAAAUUCAGAACAGGAUUUCAUCCUGCCUCGACAUCCCAACAAUGACAUUUUAUAAAUAUUACGAGUUUCUUGGACGCCUUUCUCAUUCCACAAGGAGCAGAGAAGCACCAGUUGAGAUUUUUUUCUUCUUCCCCUUCUCGAGAUGUUUUUUUUUUAAACCUUAAAUGUAACCAGUCCUCCUUUCAAUCCAUUUUCUCUAGGAUUUUUUUGAGACCUCUGGAAGUCUCAGAGAUUUUUCUGAGCUGUAAUAAGUGUGAAAAAUCUUUGACAAAGGAUUGUCUUUAUUCAAGCAUUAAGCUCUCAUUGAGAGAGGUGCUGGAAAUAAACAAGUGCUUAAAAGCAGCCUAAAAGUUGUCUUACAUCUUCACCUGCUCUCCAGCUGAGACAGGACCUGGAUUUCUAAAUCCAAGAGGAGAAAACAAUAAUUAAAUGAAGUAAAUAAAUCCUUGCAUGAUUCUUUAGACAUGAGGGGGUGGGGUGGCAAUCAGAAGAGGAGACACUGAUUUCCUCAUCUUCUGUAUACUCUCCGUGGACGUCAACCCAUCUCAUCCUUCCAGAAGGUUCAACACUCAAGAGAAGGCUUUGUGAGAACAAACCCCUUGGUCAGAGAGUUCUGACAGUGGUAAAAUUCCAUUCACAGUAAUAAACACAGAAUCCUAGAACAGGUUGGAAGGGACCUUAAAGUUCACCUAAUCCCACUCCCUGCCACGGAUAGGGAUACCUUCCAUGGUCCCCGACUGCUCCAACCCUGUCCAGCCUGGCCUUGGACACCUCCAGGGAUCCAGGGGCAGCCACAGCUGCUCUGGGCACCCUGUGCCAGGGCCUGCCCACCCUCACAGGGAGGAAUUCCUUCCCCAUAUCCCAGCUAACCCUGCCCUCUGGCAGUGGGAAGCCAUUCCCCCUUGUCCUGUCACUCCAGGCGUUUGCGAAAUCGAACACUCUACUGAUACACUUAUUUACUUAAUGAAUAUUUUCAGUUUUAGGAAAGACCUGGUAUGCAAAGGAAACGCUGCCAACUCUGCAAACCCUCCUGAAGAGCAGAGCUCUUCGCCAAAGAGCAUAAAAUAUUUAUGGAUGCAACUGUAGCUUUGUGGCUUCCACUCUUAGGGUGAAUUCACUCUUAAAAGGCCAAAUUUCAGAGAGGCACUUUAACAUGAAUUUUAAAAUUGUUAAAAGAAAUCAGUGAUUUUCUAACACCUUCUUUUCUCCCCCAUAGGUAUUUUGUAAAGCCAUGCAAAUACAGAGCUAUUGCAGAACCAAGGAAACGCAUCCCCAGGAAUUGCAAACUUGGAUUAUUUUCUUUUAAUUCUUCCAAGUCUACAAAUUUUGCCAUGAGGCAGCAGGACGAGAAAUGGGAAGGCGACAAAUCAACCUUGUGAAUGUCAGCAGUGUCACUGAACAAGAAGAAACAGAACAAUACCACUCAUCAUUUCCCAAAGUAUGUUGAAGCGUGGUCUGUAAAAAGUAGCUGACCUUAAAAUUGGCUUUUUCUCUCACUGAAGCAAAUAAAAGUGACCCCGUUCUCCAGACACACAGGCAGCGAGGCAUUGUGUCUGUACAUCCCUGCUCUGCCCAGCCACCAUCUUACAGACGCUGCACGGAUCCACCACGGAAAACAACGAACAGCACCAGCGUUCCCCUUGGAACCCUCGGUGCCAGCUGAGCCUUCUGCCAUUUCACCGCACUUCGCUUCUACCUCGGCGACCAAAGCUUGGCCACGGAACAGCUCCUCGGGCUCACGCCUCAGGAAAGGACCCGCGCAGCCCACGGCACAGAG